rnacentral:rRNA from 1 species
CGGCGGAUGGGUGAGUAACACGUGGGUAACCUACCUACAAGCUUGGGAUAACUCGUGGAAACGCGAACUAAUACCAAAUGCGAUCUUUUACCUCCUGGUAAAAGAUUAAAAGACGGUUUCGGCUGUCACUUGUAGACGGGCCCGUGGCGCAUUAGCUAGUUGGUGAGAUAAAAGCUUACCAAGGCAACGAUGCGUAGCCGACCUGAGAGGGUGAUCGGCCACACUGGGACUGAGACACGGCCCAGACUCCUACGGGAGGCAGCAGUAGGGAAUCUUCCGCAAUGGACGAAAGUCUGACGGAGCGACGCCGCGUGAAUGAUGAAGAUCUUCGGAUCGUAAAAUUCUGUUGUUAGGGAUGAACAAGUGUGAGCAUAACUACUCACACCUUGACAGUACUUAACCAGAAAGCCCCGGCUAACUACGUGCCAGCAGCCGCGGUAAUACGUAGGGGGCGUGCGUUGUCCGGAAUUAUUGGGCGUA